CUUACCAAGAUACCAAGACAUAUGAAACAACACAAGGCCAUUUUGUGAUAUUUCAAGUGAAUUAGAAGUUUGUAUUUCAUGAGCAGAAUGUGUGGUGAGUGUGUGUGCACGUGCAAAAGUGUGCAUGUAUAUGUGAGUGUAUGUGCGUGUGUGUGUGUGUGUGAGCGAGUUUUGUAGCUCUGCAGCAUAUUUGUGUAUUUGACUGAGGGGGACAGUGGGCAAUGGCACAACACAUCCUUUCUUUUGUCACUUUCUCAUCCCCUGACAGACGUGAAAGCUCUAGAUGCAACCUGAAAAGCUUUAGCUUCUUUUACACUUACCAGCGCUCUGCAUGCAAGUUUUUUUCCCCUUAUUCCCCUCAUCACCACCUAAAUCUGUGCCUCUAGGAGGCUGAUGGGCCAAGUACUGAGGGUUAUGUCUGCAUUCGGGUGUUUGCGUGCGUGAGAAUAUGUUUCUGUCCACACAUGUGCCUAAGAACCUAAAAGGGCGAAUGGUUGGAGUUCAUUGCUGCCAUUGAGACAUUAUUUUUUUUUUGGAAGUCUGUGUGUGUGUCUGUGUGUGUGUGUGUGUGUGUGUUUCGAUGAAGAUGCUUCGACACACUUCCUGUGCUUAUAAACAAAGAGCUUUGUGCAUUGCGCACUUCAUUCUCUCUAGUUAUUCUAGUGUAGCCUGGGGAUGGUCCAUUUGAGAGGAUUGUCCAGUUUCGUUUUUCGGGGAUGUGGCUCGCAUUGCCUUGUUGUCCACUCUCUUACUCCUGAGUGAGUGACUGGCUUAAAAAAAAAAAAAAAAAAUCCCAUCAAACUGUGCAAGUGCACACAGCCGUGCACAAAAUGUUCAUAUAAUGUUACUUGUUUGUUGUUGUUGUUGUUGUUGUUGUUGUUGUUGUUGAUGUUGAUGUUGAUGAUGAUGACUUUUUUUGUUAUUGCAAAUAUGAAUCUAUGAUAUACACAUAUACACACAAAGUUAAAAAGUAUUUGGACUACAAAAGAGCACUUGGGGCUGCUACUUUUUUUGUUUUUUUGAAAUGAUUUUCCUUUAGGUUUUAGUUUCAUUGCCACCAUGUGAAGUGUGUUUCCUUCUUAAGAAAACAUUGAAUGUAUUCCAAAAAAAAGGUGAAAAAAAAGAUUUUUUUUUUUAUUCAAUGCAAAAAUGGAAGUGUAGUUGGACGUUGGAAUGGAGAGGAAAAUGUCUUUUUCUUCAAAAGCCUGUUCAGCAAGCAGAUGGACAAAGUCAAAAUGACUACCGCUAGAACACACUGCCUCUACAAUCCUGUUCAUACAGACAUUGACUAUGAAAAUGAAAAAGAAAAAAAUCUAUUCCAUACUGGAGUUUUGGUUGUUUACAAAAACACUUUUGACAUUUGUGGGUGCAUUUUUCCUUUUCUUCAGGGGGGGAUGGGGGGUGGGGUGGAGAAAUGUCACUCAAUUCAGAACCAUUAGGAGGAGUGGGGCUGUAGUAAUCACAUGGUGACGAGCUCCUCCCUCUUGUAGUGAAAUGGGUGUGGCGUACACAAUGAUUGUGUCUCCAUCCUUUGCAACUUUGGCAAGAUGAUAUUGGGACAAGGAGUUAUCACAAAGCUGACCGUAUUUUGUUUACUGAAUUUGUUUUUGUUUACUUUUUUGGCCUAAUUUUCCUUUACGGUGGGUUUAAAAUGCUUUAUCCAGAGAAAAGAAAUGGUUCAUGUUUCUGGAAGAGAAAGCAAAAUCAAAAAAAACAAAAAAACAGCACAGACCAUUUUUCGGUACUUUGAAAUGCACGAAGACAACUGUUUAAGGCAUCGCUUUAACAAUUUUCUUCCCCAGCAUAUCUAGAACUGGCCUCUAGAUUUUUUUUUUUCUUUAAAAAAUAAAAAAAAAAAGGAAAAAAAAAAGAACAGAAAGAUGGACCUAUCUGUGGAGUACUGGAGCAUUACCGAUGUGACCGGAACAAAUGAGGGAUGUAUAUAUGUAUGACCUCAGCUCUGCCAUCACAGUCUGUGGAUCGUAAAUGGCCUUUCUGUUUCCACAUGGGCGAUGGGAGCAUCAUGGCAGUUGACUUUAUAAAGAAAACAAAAGAACUAAGCCUGCCUCGAUGCUCUCACUAUGCACUUUUCACAUACUUAAAACUGUGAGGACCCUGUGUGGACGUAAAGAGGAAGAAGUGGGGCGCUGUUAGGCACUUCAAAUCUAACUGAAGCCCCUGCAUUAAGAAUAUAAACUAGCAAGACAGCAAAAACAGUAGUACAUCUCUUUUUCACUCCUGUGUACAUGUACAUAGAUACUGCUGUUUUGUUUUUGUUUUGUAUUUUUUUUUUCUCCACGGACUCUCAGCCAUUCUUGGGACUGAACUUAAGCUUGAUUACACGCCAAUGAAGGAGGCUAAAGAGACAUCAGAUACUCUGAAUGUUGAGGAAUGAAAGCUCAGCUCCUUGUUUGGAAUUGUGAACUACACAAACUCCAGCCGUUCAGAGAUUUCUCACUUAAAGACACAGAGCUGUCUUAAAGUUGAUGAACUGCUUGAUUCUGGGUGCUAGUUGACAAACACACAAAAAAAGAUUUCAUCGGAGGCUGGAGUUGAAAGUAAAAUUCUGGAAAUUGUUCCCCUUAAAUGGUCAAGAUAUGGACUUGGAAGAGGACUAGAGGAAGAAUGGUUGAGAUGAUGAAACUAGUUAUAAUGACUGCCUGCUGCACCGCUGUGGAUUAAUUUCAGCACAGAGUCGCCUGUGACUGCAUCGACAGGACUAUCCAUUUGACCAGUGUUCCAGAGCUUCUGAAGAGGAUGUUGACCAGCUGUGUUUCUCUCUCUCUCUCUCUCUCUCUCUCUCUCUCUCGAAGAUUUACAAGGAAGACCACUGUUACAUGUCUGUAGAUGAGGAGGGUUACUCGCUCUUCUACCAUGGCACUACUUUCCAGGAACAGCUGCUGAAUGAAAACAGGAAGAUGGGCUUUUCGAGAGGUGUCUUAAAGACGACAGAAGACUCUGGAUACUGGAACUGUGGUAGUUAAAACCUGUACAGACUAGUAAACCACCCAUACGGCCAGGCCCUACUGCAUACAUGGCCAGGCAUGUUCAGCACACAUGCAGCACGAUCAUCAAAUACUAUCUCACACACAAAGCAACUUGCAUCAACUGCUGUCUUGACUGAACCUUAUUCAAACACAAGCAACUACAAAUAUAAUACAGAGACUCCGUACCCAUGGCAAGUGGCUGCCUUGUAAACUGUGUAUACAUGACUUCUGCUUUUUCUUUUUUCUAUUGGGUGUGGUGAUUUUUUUUUUUUUUUUUUUUUUUUUUUUUUUUUUUUUUUCCUUUCUUUUGACAUGCCUUAACUGUACAGACAAGCCUGUACUUAAAGAUGGAAAAAUGUGUUGACCAUGCUUAGUUCAAUACUCUUUUACUUCAACACUGAACUAAAAGGUUAUUUUAUGAAUUCUUCGUCAAAAGCUUUUGAGUGAUGCGCAUCUGGAAAACGAACCCCAUUUGAGCGCUAAAUUUAACUUAUGUAAAGACCUGCUGCAUCAGGUUUACUCAAUCUGGCAAGUUGUGACCCUGAAGACCAUGUGACAUGGCAUUGCACCACAGCAGAACCAUAUGUGUCCUUUUAAAAAUGUGUAUUGGAAUUGAUCAGAUUAUGCGGUAUAAUUAACUCUAGAGGCCCUUAAGCCUAAUUGUACUUUUUCACUCCUGUGGAAGUAAGUACAAGUAUUUUCAGUUGUGUAACAAGCUUUCGAGGAUGCAGGUUUUUAGUGUGGCAGUUCCCUUAAGCAGAAGUGUACUAUGUUUCUGUAGCUGAUCACGUGGGACUGUCUGCUUUUUAAAUUCUCUCUAAGUCAGACAUUUGGUUGUGGAUUUGAUAAUAGGGCUCAUAGGCAUACAGCCCCCUUUUACUGUGGCAAAAUAAUUGAACCAGGCAGUUUAACAAUGAUGGUAAUAGAGAAUAUCAGAUUAUCAGGAGUGAGUGGUCCUAUUAGUUACCACAGAUUACUUACAUGUUCUACAAGAAGAAAGAUGCAGGUCUUUCCCAGACCAUGUGAUCCCCAUGUUGACUAUGGGCUUUAUAAGAAUGUGAACAAAACCUGUUAUCCAAACCAUACACCAAGUAACGAUAGUGACUGUAGUCUGGAGUUUCCCAAAUGCAUUUCAUGUCUUUUUUUUUUUUUUUUUUUAAUGUACAAAGGGAGAAGUUAAAAUCAGUAUUGAAUCUCCUAUCUUCAUGCCACUCGCAUGUUAAGGCAUAACUUUAGUGGAGAUGAGACAAUGUUCAUUUGCCUUUUCAUUGUUACCUGUCGGCUUAGCCCUGUAGCUAAACUUUUAAACGAGUCUAAUAUAACUUUUUGAAAUCAUAUUGAAAAUGUUAGCGACAAAGUAAUAAUGUCCUGAUUAAUCAGAGUGUAAAUAGUUUGGAGUUUUUGUUUGUUUGAAAAAGACGAAAAAUACUAAAUAAACGCUUAUUAUUAAGGA